rnacentral:rRNA from 1 species
AUACGGAGGAUGCACGCGUUAUCCGGAUUUAUUGGGUUUAAAGGGUGCGUAGGCGGUUUGCUAAGCGGGAGGUGAAAUGCCGGCGCUCAACGUCGGAAGUGCCUCCCGAACUGGUGGACUGGAAUGACUCUGCCGUGGGAGGAAUGUGUAGUGUAGCGGUGAAAUGCUUAGAGAUUACACAGAACACCGAUUGCGAAGGCAUCUCACGAAGGGUUGAUUGACGCUGAGGCACGAAAGCGUGGGGAUCAAACAGGAUUAGAUACCCUGGUAGUCCACGCAGUAAACGAUGAUGGCUAACCGCUGGUUUUUUCGGAUCAGUGGCCAAGCGAAAGCGAUAAGCCAUCCACCUGGGGAGUACGACCGCAAGGUUGAAACUCAAAUGAAUUGACGGGG